rnacentral:miRNA from 1 species
GCUUCAGCCGUAUGCAUAAUCUC